rnacentral:rRNA from 1 species
GAUGAACGCUGGCGGCGUGCCUAAUACAUGCAAGUCGAGCGAACAGACGAGGAGCUUGCUCCUCUGACGUUAGCGGCGGACGGGUGAGUAACACGUGGAUAACCUACCUAUAAGACUUGGAUAACUUCGGGAAACCGGAGCUAAUACCGGAUAAUAUAUUGAACCGCAUGGUUCAAUAGUGAAAGACGGUUUUGCUGUCACUUAUAGAUGGAUCCGCGCCGCAUUAGCUAGUUGGUAAGGUAACGGCUUACCAAGGCAACGAUGCGUAGCCGACCUGAGAGGGUGAUCGGCCACACUGGACUGAGACACGGUCCAGACUCCUACGGGAGGCAGCAGUAGGGAAUCUUCCGAAAUGGGCGAAAGCCUGACGGAGCAACGCCGCGUGAGUGAUGAAGGUCUUCGGAUCGUAAAACUCUGUUAUUAGGGAAGACCAAAUGUGUAAGUAACUAUGCACGUCUUGACGGUACCUAAUCAGAAAGCCACGGCUAACUACGUG